GGCAGAUUAGAUUGUGAUCUGGAAGCAACAUCUCCAGCAUUUUGGAAGCACUGUGUUUUACUUCCCCCUCUUGAAGAUCAUUGCAUGAGCCAGGGAAAGAAGGCUAAUUUCAGUAGAUGAGGAAAACCAGAUAACUUGUAGUAAGUGGAAUGAGAUGGAUUGUUACAUCAUGAAAUAUAGCAUGCCAAGGAUUAUAUAAGAUAAAAACAAAGAUGACUUUGUGACUCUAAGACACAAAAGAUUUUGAGAAUGCCCAGAUUCUUCAGCGAGAAGGAGAUUUUCAGCACUGGCUGUAUUGAUUUUUCUUCCUGGGAGUUUGAGGAAGCCCCUUAAGCAGCUGAUCUUCAUUCCAAGCUGGCCCUAGAAGCUGCCUGAUGGUGCUGCAAAGCAAGUGGUGGGUACAUCUGUCCUAAGGAAGAGCACAGACCUCGGGGUUUUUGUGGGAUAGAUGAGAAGUCUCCUUACCUGCCCUGGAGCCCAAGAUUUUAUUCCCCAUGCAGCAUGUGAACACAAACUCAGUAACAAGGCUGAAUUUAGUUCCAAAUGCUGCACUGGACAUCGAGGACUGGGUGAGUGCA